rnacentral:rRNA from 1 species
UACGUAGGGGGCAAGCGUUGUCCGGAUUUAUUGGGCGUAAAGAGCGUGUAGGCGGCCUGAAAGGUCAGCUGUGAAAACUCGAGGCUCAACCUCGAGACGUCGGUUGAAACCAUUUGGCUAGAGUCCGGAAGAGGAAAGUGGAAUUCCUGGUGUAGCGGUGAAAUGCGCAGAUAUCAGGAAGAACACCAAUGGCGAAAGCAGCUUUCUGGGACGGUACUGACGCUGAGACGCGAAAGCGUGGGGAGCGAACAGG